rnacentral:rRNA from 1 species
CCCUUAGAUGUUCUGGGCUGCACGCGUGCUACACUGAUAUUGCCAAUAUGUCAUUCUUAUCCGAAAUGGAUUGGGUAAUCAAGUAAUGAAAUUUCAUGCUUGGAAUCGGUAAUUGCAAUUUUAUCGUGAACGAGGAAUUCCUAGUAAGCACAAGUCAUCAGCUUGUGUUGAUUACGUCCCUGCCCUUUGUACACACCGCCCGUCGCUCCUACCGAUUGAAUGUUCCGGUGAGCUCUUCGGACUGCGCGGUCUGCAGUUUCUGCGUUCCGUGCGGAAAGUUGUGCAAACCUUAACAUUUAGAGGAAGGAGAAGUCGUAACA